rnacentral:rRNA from 1 species
CUACGGGUUGCAGCAGUGGGGAAUAUUGCACAAUGGGCGCAAGCCUGAUGCAGCCAUGCCGCGUGUAUGAAGAAGGCCUUCGGGUUGUAAAGUACUUUCAGCGGGGAGGAAGGGAGUAAAGUUAAUACCUUUGCUCAUUGACGUUACCCGCAGAAGAAGCACCGGCUAACUCCGUGCCAGCGAGCCGCGGUAAUACGGAGGGUGCAAGCGUUAAUCGGAAUUACUGGGCGUAAAGCGCACGCAGGCGGUGUGUUAAGUCAGAUGUGAAAUCCCCGGGCUCAACCUGGGAACUGCAUCUGAUACUGGCAAGCUUGAGUCUCGUAGAGGGGGGUAGAAUUCCAGGUGUAGCGGUGAAAUGCGUAGAGAUCUGGAGGAAUACCGGUGGCGAAGGCGGCCCCCUGGACGAAGACUGACGCUCAGGUGCGAAAGCGUGGGGAGCAAACAGGAUUAGAUACCCCCGUAGUC